rnacentral:rRNA from 1 species
GCGUUGUCCGGAAUUACUGGGCGUAAAGAGCUCGUAGGCGGUUUGUCGCGUCGACUGUGAAAUCCCAUGGCUCAACUGUGGGCGUGCAGUCGAUACGGGCAGACUUGAGUACUGCAGGGGAGACUGGAAUUCCUGGUGUAGCGGUGAAAUGCGCAGAUAUCAGGAGGAACACCGGUGGCGAAGGCGGGUCUCUGGGCAGUAACUGACGCUGAGGAGCGAAAGCAUG